GUACACUCCUACGGGAGGCAGCAGUGGGGAAUAUUGCACAAUGGGCGCAAGCCUGAUGCAGCCAUGCCGCGUGUAUGAAGAAGGCCUUCGGGUUGUAAAGUACUUUCAGCGGGGAGGAAGGCGAUAAGGUUAAUAACCUUGUCGAUUGACGUUACCCGCAGAAGAAGCACCGGCUAACUCCGUGCCAGCAGCCGCGGUAAUACGGAGGGUGCAAGCGUUAAUCGGAAUUACUGGGCGUAAAGCGCACGCAGGCGGUCUGUCAAGUCGGAUGUGAAAUCCCCGGGCUCAACCUGGGAACUGCAUUCGAAACUGGCAGGCUAGAGUCUUGUAGAGGGGGGUAGAAUUCCAGGUGUAGCGGUGAAAUGCGUAGAGAUCUGGAGGAAUACCGGUGGCGAAGGCGGCCCCCUGGACAAAGACUGACGCUCAGGUGCGAAAGCGUGGGGAGCAAACAGGAUUAGAAACCCCUGUAGUCCCA
rnacentral:rRNA from 1 species